UUGCAUAGUUGUUGAUUUGGGCUACUAAUUUGUGUGAUUUAGGCUUGUAUAUUUCAUAUAUCAAGUUGGGCUUGAUUAACAUAUUUUCCUUGGGCUAUGACAUUUCUUUUUAAUGUUUUGGCAUUUCGCUGAGAGCGGGAAGAGCAACAUGGGAGCACUUAGGGUGGUUGAAGUAGGAUAUGGGCAAGAGCAGAUUGGAGAGGACAAGAUUGAAGACUUUAUAUAUUCUCUAUAUUUUUCUAUGAAAUGAGGGGAACAAAGGAUUUUUCUCAAUCUUCUUUGUAUUUUUUGUGCAUAUUUGUGAGAGGGUUGAGAGUUUUUGCAUAUUUGAGCUUCAUUUUGGAAGCUAUUGAGGGCCAUUAUUGUUAUUGAGACUACA
rnacentral:lncRNA from 1 species